CAACGAUGCGUAGCCGACCUGAGAGGGUGAUCGGCCACACUGGAACUGAGGCACGGUCCAGACUCCUACGGGAGGCAGCAGUAGGGAAUCUUCCGCAAUGGGCGAAAGCCUGACGGAGCAACGCCGCGUGAGUGAUGAAGGUCUUCGGAUCGUAAAACUCUGUUAUUAGGGAAGAACAAAUGUGUAAGUAACUAUGCACGUCUUGACGGUACCUAAUCAGAAAGCCACGGCUAACUACGUGCCAGCAGCCGCGGUAAUACGUAGGUGGCAAGCGUUAUCCGGAAUUAUUGGGCGUAAAGCGCGCGUAGGCGGUUUUUUAAGUCUGAUGUGAAAGCCCACGGCUCAACCGUGGAGGGUCAUUGGAAACUGGAAAACUUGAGUGCAGAAGAGGAAAGUGGAAUUCCAUGUGUAGCGGUGAAAUGCGCAGAGAUAUGGAGGAACACCAGUGGCGAAGGCGACUUUCUGGUCUGUAACUGACGCUGAUGUGCGAAAGCGUGGGGAUCAAACAGGAUUAGAUACCCUGGUAGUCCACGCCGUAAACGAUGAGUGCUAAGUGUUAGGGGGUUUCCGCCCCUUAGUGCUGCAGCUAACGCAUUAAGCACUCCGCCCGGGGAGUACGACCGCAAGGUUGAAACUCAAAGGAAUUGACGG
rnacentral:rRNA from 1 species